AAAAUGACUCUUCAUGGAAUAACAAAGGGAGAGGCGAGGUGGCUACUCCAGGUGUGAGUUUAAAUAGCAUGAUAAAAGGAGGGGCUCUAGAGAAGUUCCUAUGGUAUUGGAGAUAAGAGGUAGAUAUACCACAGAAACCAGAAAAGUAUAAGAAGAGGAAAAACAGAAUAUUACUUAUGCCUGAUAAUGCUACCUGCUGGGUUAGACUAGAAUAUAUAAUUCAUAAAGAAUACUGGAGUUCAGAAGUUAGUACUACAUGGAAGAACAAUCCUAUGGGGCAAGUACACUUACAGAUGAACAGUGAAGGAGUGAGAAUCCAGACCAGUCAGACUCCAAAG